rnacentral:rRNA from 1 species
CUUGGUCAUUUAGAGGAAGUAACGGUUGUAACAAGGUUUCCGUAGGUGAUCCUGCGGAAGGAUCAUUAACAAAUCCUGCUGCGGUGCCCCUCUGGGGGUGCUGUAGUAUAUUAACUCGGUCCAGGCUGGAAGGCUUGGGCUGACAAAUUAAUGUGUGUAAUGUUGACAAUGUGUGUGUGAUUAAUAAUUAGUAGACAACUUUUAACAAUGGAUCUCUAGGCUCUUGCAGCGAUGAAGAACGCAGUAAAGUGCGAAAAGUGAUGCGAUUUGCAUGAAUCUGUGAGUCAUCUAGUUUUUGAACGCGAAUGGCACUCUUGUGUAAGCAGGAGUAUGUCUGUUUGAGAAUCCCAAAACCGAUCAACACCUGUGGGGGUUGGCAUUGGCGUUCCGUGCAGCGAUGUGCGGUUUGCUGGAAUGGACUCAGGUUGAUGGGCUCCGGCUGAGCUCCAAAUGUGCUAAAAGACUGUGGUCUUUCGUCGUUUGGGUGCGCAGCUGCAAGGCUCUAGUUGACGACCUUUACAUAGUAUCAUCUAUGUAUCUAUUAUCUAAUAGGAACUCAAAUCAGGCAAGAUUACCCGCUGAACUUAAGCAUAUCAAUAAGCGGAGGA